rnacentral:lncRNA from 11 species
CUGGAUUUAAUGAAGUAAAGCUCUGCUUUUCCCAAAAGUUGCCUUGUAUGAAACCAAGCCAGUGGAGAAAAAGCAUUGUGAUGGUGUGAGCAGCCUAUCUCAUCUUGUUAAAAGGCCUUUUCCCUUACCACCUCAUCACAUUCAAAGGGAAAGCAUGGGUUCACUAUGAUUCCCAAGAAUUGGAAGACUUGAAAAUAAGAGUACAAGCAGAUAUUAUUUUAGGUAAACAACAUCUUCCACUUCUGAUAGAAAGCUUAGGGUUUAUUUGGUUUUCAAACACUACAACACCCCUCUGGGAUCAAAUGCCAUACUUUACAAGGGUGUUUUGUUGCUUAUGUACUUGUGUUUGUAGCUGAAAACAACAUAAAGUGUGAAGUAUAAGCCUAUGUUUGUAAUUGUGUAAUAAACCCAUGCCUGAG